rnacentral:rRNA from 1 species
GUCCUAGCCGUAAACGGUGUGAACUUGGUGUGGGAGGAAUUAUCCCCUUCCGUGCCGUAGCUAACGCGAUAAGUUCACCGCCUGGGGAGUACGGCCGCAAGGCUAAAACUCAAAGGAAUUGACGGGGGCCCGCACAAGCGGUGGAGCAUGUGGCUUAAUUCGAUGCAACGCGAAGAACCUUACCUGGGCUUGACAUGUGACUGGAUGCCCCGUGAAAGCGGGGAGGCUCUCGAGGCUGUCACACAGGUGCUGCAUGGCUGUCGU